UACGAAGGGGGCUAGCGUUGUUCGGAAUCACUGGGCGUAAAGCGCACGUAGGCGGAUUGUUAAGUCGGGGGUGAAAUCCUGAGGCUCAACCUCAGAACUGCCUUCGAUACUGGCAAUCUCGAGUCCGGAAGAGGUUGGUGGAACAGCUAGUGUAGAGGUGAAAUUCGUAGAUAUUAGCUAGAACACCAGUGGCGAAGGCGGCUCACUGGCCCGAUACUGACGCUGAGGUGCGAAAGCGUGGGGAGCGAUCCGG
rnacentral:rRNA from 1 species